GCCCCUAGGACGUGCUGGUCCCCCUUUUGCAGAUGGGCCUAAGCCAGCCAAAAAAAAAAAAAUUCUCAAAAGGGGAAAAGUUCGUACUCCUGAAUGUUGUCCGGGGCUAAGCCAAAUUGCACUGUGGGAUGCCAAGAACCCAACAAAUGGGUCCGAUGAAGGACGUGUGUGCUCACACAGCUUCUUACGGCAAUGAAGUGGAUCGUUGUGUGUGUAUAUACAUGUCGGAGUGAGCAAAGUUGCACAUCUGUCGGGUGUUCGUUUGUAAUUUUCCAUAUCUGCACUGGCCCAGAUGUCUGGUCUACCUUUCCGCCCCCAGCCAACGAGUCUUCCCACACCGUGACGAUUUUGGAACCACCCACUGUUCAGUUCAGUUCUGGAUUUCGCAAUGUGAACGUUUGAGUCUUGGGGAAAAGGGGACCUUUGAACAGGAGCACCGCGAAGGCCCAAAUCCGGGACUGAAGUAGGCAGCUGCCACUCAAACAGGCCCAAAAACCGAGAGCUCUCCUUUCCGCUCUCGUUUCUUGCAGUGUAGCAAAGCAGUAUUAUCAAGCCGGAAAUUGCGUCUACGGCAUGCAGACAUCCGAUUGAUAACGAAAUGUUUCCCUUUGCCGUCGAAAACUCUAGGAAGUGUAACGGUGAGAGCGGAAACCAGAAAUCUCGUGACAAGAUCCUGGGCAAAAAUCUCUGGAAUAGAACUGAUACUAGUUUCCGGCCUGGACAUGCCCACGAUGGAAUUCCCUGAAGCUCGUUAUGGCUUCUGUGUGAGAAGCCUUGGAGUACGGUGGCUGGGGUAGGAAUGGGCCAACCGCUACCCUGUCACAAUCUUUCUCUUGCGCACACCAAACGGUACAGCCGAGGGCUACUAGUUUCUGCUAUUCCUACCACAGCAGAAUGUCGCCUGUGGAAACACUAACUUUUUGGUAUUUUUUUUUAAAAAAUGUCUCCCUUUUAAUGGAGAUGUUUAUGUAUUAAAAAUGUUUGCUUCAAA